rnacentral:lncRNA from 1 species
AAAAAUUCUGGGAUCGUGUGAAAAUGAAUUGACUAAAGAAGUGGAAUUUGUCUGGUGAAAGAAUGUGUUUUUAGUCUUCUCAACUAUAUAUUCUGGGAGGUACAGUUUUUUGUUUUUUUUUUAAAUCAGUAGUUUACAUGCCCCAAGUUUUGAAUUAAUUCAUGACUACUAUUGAGACAUUUCCUGUCUACCAGAUCUAGAAACAAAUCCAGAUAAAUUUCAUGAAAAUUUGUAACAACAACAACAAAAUUUUAAGUGCACAAAUCAGAAUUUCAGAAGAGAUCGGGGGCGUUCAGGGUGGUAUGGCCAUAGACAUGUCUUUAGAAUGUCAAACACCAAAUCUUGUUUGUCCUUUUGGUUUUGAUAGCAGGUUUUUGAUUUAUGGUCAAGGAGAAACUUGAUGCAAACCAAAUUGGAGUUUGAGAACUUAGGGACAUAGUCAUUCUGAACUACCACCUUUCAGUGGAUUAUUGCAGUGGUGCCCAAAAAGUAUGAGUUGAGAACAUAGACCUAGCACUAGAAAAGAAAACUGAAAGUAUUGCCCCCACGGGAAAAGUAUCUUCAUAUCAGUAGAGCAUCAUGUUUGUGCUCCAAACCACAUAGGGGCUUAAUGUUUAAAAGAAAGGAGGUGGGGUUAUGGUUCUGGAAGAGUGUUCAUACAGAAUGUAUAGUCUUUUUGUGCAGUAGUUAACCAAAAGAGUUAUCUACCCCAAACUACAAUGAAAAGGUUAAAGCAAAGCAAUAUGUAGAAAUACUUUAACAAUUUGAUAGUUGCUUCUUGAAUGGCCCCUGUGACCCUGCUUUGUUGUAGGGUCUUACAGAGCUAGUCUUUAAGCUCUAUGAGCCCAGAGACUUUCUCUGAUGUUUAUGGAAGGCCUUUGCUGUUCUUAAAAUGUAGUAGGCACUUAGUAUUCAUUUGUUCAAUGAGUAAAAAAAUAAUGCAAAAAUCUAUAAGAUGAUGUCUCUGCCCCAAGGAGCAUAUUGAUUAAAAAGCAUUCACAAACGGCUUUACAGUUGACAGAAUCUAUUAACCUACUUUAUUACCUGCAGUAUUCAGUGGUUCCAACUCUGGUUUGUAUCAGAAUCACCUGGAUAGACUCUUCCUUCCUUCGUUCCUUCCUUCGUUCCUUCCUUCGUUCCUUCGUUCCUUCCUUCCUUCCUUCCUUCCUUCCUUCCUUCCUUUCUCUCUUUCAGAUGUUUAUAACCCAAAGUAACUCAGGGAAUGGAAUCUUUCUGGGAAGUGGCAGAGAUGGUGAAGGAAACAGGUGUCAACAUUCACUAGGUGAUUUCUGGCACACAAUGCUGACAGAAGUUUCCAUAGUGGAGAAGAAGAAUAGAAAAAUUCCUUUGUCCCUGCCUUUGCUGCAAGUUUGACCUAUGCCAUUUCUGCUUAAUUUUGAAAUUUCAAAGAUUAUUAUGGACAACAUGGCUCAAUAAAUAAGCACAUUGCAUUGGAAAUUUAUGACA